rnacentral:pre_miRNA from 1 species
UAUAUACUCCCUCCGUUCCUAAAUAUUUGUCUUUCUAGAGGUUUCAACAAGUGACUACAUACGGAGCAAAAUGAGUGAAUCUAUACUCUAAAAUAUGUCUAUAUACAUCCGUAUGUGGUAACCAUUUGACAUCUCUAGAAAGACAAAUAUUUAGGAACGGAGGGAGUAUAUA